rnacentral:rRNA from 1 species
AACGGCCGUACCAUGCUGAAUAUACCGGUUCUCGUUAGAUCACCGAAGUUAAGCAUCAUUGGGCGCGGUCAGUACUUGGGUGGGUGAACAACACCGCGUG